rnacentral:rRNA from 1 species
UCAUUACCGAGUGUAGGGUUCCUAGCGAGCCAACCUCCCACCCGUGUUUACUGUAACCUUAGUUGCUUCGGCGGGCCCGCCUUUAAGGCCGCCGGGGGGCAUCAGCCCCCGGGCCCGCGCCCGCCGGAGACACCACGAACUCUGUCUGAUCUAGUGAAGUCUGAGUUGAUUGUAUCGCAAUCAGUUAAAACUUUCAACAAUGGAUCUCUUGGUUCCGGCAUCGAUGAAGAACGCAGCGAAAUGCGAUAACUAGUGUGAAUUGCAGAAUUCCGUGAAUCAUCGAGUCUUUGAACGCACAUUGCGCCCCCUGGUAUUCCGGGGGGCAUGCCUGUCCGAGCGUCAUUGCUGCCCAUCAAGCACGGCUUGUGUGUUGGGUCGUCGUCCCCUCUUCGGGGGGGACGGGCCCCAAAGGCAGCGGCGGCACCGCGUCCGAUCCUCGAGCGUAUGGGGCUUUGUCACCCGCUCUGUAGGCCCGGCCGGCGCUUGCCGAACGCAAAACAACCAUUCUUUCCAGGUUGACCUCGGAUCAGGUAGGGAUACCCGCUGAACUUAAGCAUAUCAAUAAGCGGAGGA